GUUAUCGGUUGCCGAUAAUCAUCGCCCAAUAAACCCGAUUACCCAAAGCGGGAUUAUCAUCAUCGUCCGAUCUGGUCACACUUAGCAGCGCCUAUAUAAGCGGAGACACAGCCCCAGACCAGCCACUUGCGUUCUGACGACUCUCGAGGAAACAACAACUAGGAGGAAUACCCGGAAAAUACAAGUAGUUCGUUCCUCUAAAACGACCCAGAACACUACGAACCCGACGUACUCGAACGACAAGACACGACGACGCCAAGCAGUGUACAAUCGGCCCUCCGAAGCGCCAACAGCAAGCAGUGCAUCCAGCCACAGCGCACCGUCGACAUCAAGCAGUGCAUAAUCGGCCCUCCCGAUGCGCCAACACCAAUCAGUGCACCCAGCUAGCACACAAGCAGUUCCUCGUACUAUUGCACAGUGUCAGCAGCAAGCAGUGCAACAUACGGUCCUUCUGUAGUGCCGAUCCCGCACACCCAGCAGUGCGAUACUCAACGAGCUGCGAUAUACUCGGCCCUUCCGCAGCGUCGAUAUCAACAGCAGCGCCGACACCACUUAGCAAGCAGUAUCACGCUCGAUAUAAUUAUAGUUAGAAAACGUAAUCAAUCGUACUAUUAAAAUAUAACCAUACUCUGUAGCGUU